rnacentral:rRNA from 1 species
GGUAUGAAUGGCUAAACGAGAAAUAAACUUUUUUUGUUAUAAAAAUUGAAUUUAAUUUUUUAGUGAAAAAGCUAAAAUUCUUCAGAAAGACGAGAAGACCCUAUAGAGUUUUAUACUAGGCAAGUAAUUUUUCUUAUUAGAUUUUUACAGAUUAAUUAUUUUUAAGUAUUUUGUUGGGGCGACAUUAAGAUAAAAAAAACUCUUUAUUUUUAAAAUUUUUAUAAAAAGUAAGCUUGAUCCUCUAUAAGAGAUCAAAAGAAAAAAUUACCUUAGGGAUAACAGCGUAAUCUUUUUUGAGAGUUCUAAUCGACAAAAAGGUUUGCGACCU